rnacentral:rRNA from 1 species
GACGUAGGGCGCGAGCGUUGUCCGGAUUUAUUGGGCGUAAAGAGCUCGUAGGCGGCUCGUUGCGUCAACCGUGAAAACCCGGGGCUUAACUUCGGGCUUGCGGUUGAUACGGGCGGGCUGGAGUUCGGUAGGGGAGACUGGAAUUCCUGGUGUAGCGGUGAAAUUCGUAGAUAUCAGGAGGAACACCGGUGGCGAAGGCGGGUCUCUGGGCCGAUACUGACGCUGAGGAGCGAAAGCGUGGGGAGCGAACAGG